rnacentral:rRNA from 1 species
GAUGAACGCUGGCGGCGUGCUUAACACAUGCAAGUCGAACGGUGAAGGCCGAUCUUGCUCUGCUGGAUCAGUGGCGAACGGGUGAGUAACACGUGAGCAAUCUGCCCCUGACUAUGGGAUAAGCGCUGGAAACGGCGUCUAAUACUGGAUACGAGCUGCGAAGGCAUCUUAAGCAGAUGGAAAGAAUUUGGGUCUGGGAUGAGCUCGCGGCCUAUCAGCUUGUUGGUGAGGUAAUGGCUCACCAAGGGGUCGACGGGUAGCCGGCCUGAGAGGGUGACCGGCCACACUGGGACUAGGAGACGGCCCAGACGCCUACGGGCGGCAACAGUGGGAAAUAUUGCACAGUGGGCGAAAGCCUAAUGCAGCAACGCCGGGUAAGGAACGACGGCCCUCGGGUGGAAAACGUUUUUUAGCAGGGAAGAAGCGAAAGUGACGGUACCUGCUGAAAAAGCGCCGGCUAACUACGUG